rnacentral:ncRNA from 1 species
GAGUCCCUGUCGGAAAAUAGGCAGCGUACCGCCGAAAGACGGUAUGGAAAAUCGGGCUAAUUCGGGGAACUCCUACUUUGCUUAAUGCUUAGUAGGAUUAUCCCGAGCUAAACUCUUUGAAAGAGGAGAAAUGUGUAGAGACUAUAUACCCGAUCCCGAUUUAAUCGGGAAUGAGAUAGUCCAGACCUUUUGGUAACAAGAGG